rnacentral:rRNA from 1 species
UGUAAAAUUUUAAAGGUCGAACAGACCUAAUAUUAUAGCUUCUACACCAAAAAUUAAUUUUAAUCCAACAUCGAGGUCGCAAUCUUUUUUUUUAAUAUGAACUUUAUAAAAAAAUUACGCUGUUAUCCCUAAGGUAAUUUUAUCUUAUAAUCAAAAAUAUUGGRUCAUUUAUUCAUAAAUUUAUGUUUAAAAAUAAAAAAAAGUUUAUUAAAUUUUUCAAUCACCCCAAUUAAAUUAUUAAAUAAAAUAUAUAAAUAAAUACUAAAAUAUAAUUUUUAUUUAAUAAUUAAACUCUAUAGGGUCUUCUCGUCUUUUAAAUUCAAUUAAGCUUUUUAACUUAAAAAUAAAAUUCUAAUAAUUUAAUAGAGACAGUCAUUUUUUUAUCCAACCUUUCAUUCCAGUUUUUAAUUAAAAAACUAAUGAUUAUGCUACCUUAGCACGGUCAAAAUACCACGGCCAUUUAAAUUUUCAGUGGGCAGGCUAGACCUUAAAUUAUAUACAAAAGGAC